rnacentral:snoRNA from 1 species
UGGGAAUGAUGACCAAUACUUUGGUCCGUGUUCUUGAUCCGCGUGAUCGCGAUGAAAUGAAACAAAGUUCUGACCCG